UGGGGAAUAUUGGACAAUGGGCGAAAGCCUGAUCCAGCCAUGCCGCGUGUGUGAAGAAGGUAUUCGGAUUGUAAAGCACUGUAAGUUGGGAGGAAGGGCAUUAACCUAAUACGUUAGUGUUUUGACGUUACCGAAAGAAUAAGCACCGGCUAACUCUGUGCCAGCAGCCGCGGUAAUACAGAGGGUGCAAGCGUUAAUCGGAAUUACUGGGCGUAAAGCGCGCGUAGGUGGUUUGUUAAGUUGGAUGUGAAAUCCCCGGGCUCAACCUGGGAACUGCAUUCAAAACUGACUGACUAGAGUAUGGUAGAGGGUGGUGGAAUUUCCUGUGUAGCGGUGAAAUGCGUAGAUAUAGGAAGGAACACCAGUGGCGAAGGCGACCACCUGGACUAAUACUGACACUGAGGUGCGAAAGCGUGGGGAGCAAACA
rnacentral:rRNA from 1 species